AGUGAACGCUGGCGGUAGGCCUAACACAUGCAAGUCGAACGGCAGCACAGUAAGAGCUUGCUCUUACGGGUGGCGAGUGGCGGACGGGUGAGGAAUACAUCGGAAUCUACUUUUUCGUGGGGGAUAACGUAGGGAAACUUACGCUAAUACCGCAUACGACCUACGGGUGAAAGCAGUGGAUCUUCGGACCUUGCGCGAUUGAAUGAGCCGAUGUCGGAUUAGCUAGUUGGCGGGGUAAAGGCCUACCAAGGCGACGAUCCGUAGCUGGUCUGAGAGGAUGAUCGGCCACACUGGAACUGAGACACGGUCCAGACUCCUACGGGAGGCAGCAGUAGGGAAUAUUCCGCAAUGGGCGCAAGCCUGAUGCAGCAAUACCGCGUGAGUGAAGAAGGCCUUCGGAUUGUAAAGCCCUGUUGUUAGGGAAGAACAACUGUGGGAUAAUACCUGGCUGUCUUGACGGUACCUAAAGAAAAAGCACCGGCUAACUACGUG
rnacentral:rRNA from 1 species